rnacentral:misc_RNA from 1 species
AUUUAACCAUGAUUUGGUCUCUUUGUCAUAAGCCACAACUAGGAAGGCACACUAGAGAAGUUACAGAUCUAACACCGAAUAGAGGGUGCCUAUGUAUAUGGCUUGUGGCUCUUUUUACUUCAAAGAGCAAGGUUUGUCAAUGGCGGCUAGAAAGGUUCCACAGGGUUAAAGUCCAAGAAAAAGACAAAGAAGAGGAAGAAAGGAAGAGCUAACAGGG